rnacentral:sRNA from 1 species
UGCCUGGUGUAGUGCAACGCUAAGUGAUC